CCAAUAGCGUAUAUUAAAGUUGUUGCAGUUAAAAAGCUCGUAGUUGAACCUUGGGCCUGGUUGGCCGGUCUGCCUUUUUGGCACGUACUGGAUUCAACCGGGCCUUUCCUUCUGGCUAACCUUCACUUCUGUGUUGGCAAACCAGGACUUUUACUUUGAAAAAAUUAGAGUGUUCAAAGCAGGCCUUUGCUCGAAUAUAUUAGCAUGGAAUAAUAAAAUAGGACGUUAUGGUUCUAUUUUGUUGGUUUCUAGGACCAUCGUAAUGAUUAAUAGGGACGGUCGGGGGCAUCAGUAUUCAGUUGUCAGAGGUGAAAUUCUUGGAUUUACUGAAGACUAACUACUGCGAAAGCAUUUGCCAAGGACGUUUUCAUUAAUCAAGAACGAAAGUUAGGGGAUCGAAGAUGAUCAGAUACCGUCGUAGUCUUAACCAUAAACUAUGCCGACUAGGGAUCGGGUGGUGUUUCUUUUUUGACCCACUCGGCACCUUACGAGAAAUCAAAGUUUUUGGGUUCUGGGGGGAGUAUGG
rnacentral:rRNA from 1 species